rnacentral:rRNA from 1 species
UACGUAGGGUGCAAGCGUUGUCCGGAAUUAUUGGGCGUAAAGAGCUCGUAGGCGGUCUGUCGCGUCGGCUGUGAAAACCCGAGGCUCAACCUCGGGCCUGCAGUCGAUACGGGCAAACUAGAGUACUGCAGGGGAGACUGGAAUUCCUGGUGUAGCGGUGAAAUGCGCAGAUAUCAGGAGGAACACCGGUGGCGAAGGCGGGUCUCUGGGCAGUAACUGACGCUGAGGAACGAAAGCCAGGGUAGCCAAAGGG